AACGGGAAUAGCAAGUCACAGUUGCUGACUGUGUUAUUAUCGAUGUGGUUCCAUAUGUAGUUUAAGAUAGUAACAUCUGUUGUGCGACCGAGGCUGAGUUAUACUCUUAACAACCAUCUGGACCGUCAAUCCGUUCCCCGACUCGUCCCCGUUAUAUUCUCAUUUCCUGAAGAGAAUAGUGAAAGAAAGGGUGAGCUCAACUAGUCCAGUAAGAAAAUUUUAUGACUAAGAUAAUGCAGAAUAAUUUAUCGUUAGCCUUCAACAGUGUUAAACUGAUAAAAUAUAACAAACAUCAAGUUUAACUGCAACGGAACAAGCAAUCCAUUAGAAGAGUCAAGUAGAGAAUAAAAUCUAUUAUCUUCUAUGAUUUAAAAGGUUUUUCAUCACUUUUAUCGCUGAGACUCAGCUUAAUAAAUAAACCACAUCAUCCCUGCACUACGGCCAAGGAUAUUCAUUAGUAUCACGACCACAAAUUAACCAUGCAUUGCGGGCCAAAGAUAUUCGUGUAUUCAUCAAUAGUCAUGAUCAUGCCAACAAUUGUCCAUCAAUGCACUACGGUCAUGAUUAUACCGAAUAAUCCCUAAUCAUAAUCAUACCAAGUCCAUCUAUGCACUACAGGCCACAAAUGACUUUCAACAUAUUAUAAACAUGAGGAUGAUGACAAUGAUAUAAGAAUUCAAUAAAACAAGUUCAAUGAUAAAUUUUUAAAGAUUUAUAAUUUAAUUUAUCCAAAAAUCAAUAACGUCCAAAUUGUCAACAUGAUACUGUUUUGUGGAGUAAAAUUCAAGAAUUCUCAGAAGAAUAUUUUCAUGAAAAGAUACUGGAUGAAGCGCAAAUAUCCAGGAUAUUCAACUAAUUUUAUGGAGUAUAGAAGCCAAAAUUUUAACCAACUGAGUAUAAUAGAAUAUAUGAAACUGCAAAUAGAUUUUUGCCCGCCAUGCGGUAAUCCACGUAGACUGAUCAUUUCCACAAUUUAAUAAGGAAUGAAUACGAAGGAUCAUUCACCAUGCAUGCGGUAGUCCACAUAAUUCCAAUAGAAGAUAGGUUAUUCCAACAGAAUAAUAAAGAAUGAAAUAACAAAAGAAUUCACCAGGCAUGCGAUAGACCGCACAGACAGAUUAUUCCGACAGAAUAAUAAAGAAUGGAAUAACAGAAGAAUUCACCAUGCAUGCGAUAGACCGCACAGAUAGGUUAUUCCAACAGAAUAAUAAAGAAUGAAAUAACAAAAGAAUUCACCAGGCAUGCGAUAGACCGCACAGACAGAUUAUUCCGACAGAAUAAUAAAGAAUGGAAUAACAAAAGAAUUCACCAGGCAUGCAAUAGACCGCAGAGAAAAUUGGAUACUGGAAUAGUGAGGUAGUAGACUUCUCUUUUUCUUUCUCUCUAUAAUAAUUGAUCUAUAGCUUUAGUGAAUUGGUGAGAAAUGAAGGAAGAAUGAACUUCUAUUUAUAAGAAAAUAUAGUUUUAAUAAUUGCACGUUUUGGGGCUCGAAAUAUUACAGUAUAUAAUACCUUCCUCUUUUUCUUCAUUUUUAAUUUAAUCCUGCAAGUAUUAUCAAACUUGCACCACCUCCCCUAAUAGUAAAUCACGUGAAUCAAUAGUAAAAUCAUGUAACUCAGUAUAAUUAUGCGAAAAAACUAAUUACAGUAUAUUACCUCCGUCUAUACCUCUAUUUUUAAUUUAGUCAUGCAAGUAUUAUCAAUCUUGCACCACCACCCCUAAUAGUACAAGAAUGUGAAUCAAUAGUACACACAUGUGAACAAAUAGUUAUAAGCAUGUGAAAUAAUAGCAAUUAAUUGCUCAUUAAUCCGAUUAAUUACCCGAUUGGUCAAAUAACCUCUAGACAUCAAUUAUUAUCGAAAUAAAUGUCGAUUUCCGCUAACACUAAUAAUCCCAACACAAUGGAACUAUCCAUUUCAUCUUUAAUCAACACGAACUUAUUCAUCAUUAAUAUUAUAAUUCACAAUAUUUAACAAUCAGGUCGUUUCCAGGAAAGAGGGGACUUUCCGAUAAGAAUUUCUCCUUAUUGGCGAGCAAUUAGGUGACCAAACCUCUCCUUGACAGAACUUCUAGACAUUGUCAAUAUUGAAAAUAAUAAUAUUAAUAACUUUGUCAUUUCAAUUAUUGAUUUAAUAAUAUAAAAUAUUGAUACUGUGACAAUAAUUGAAUCAAUAAUAUGAGAGAUGAUGUAGCAAUUACUGUAGCAAUAAUUGAGUAUAACUGAGUGACUUCUUACGUAAGCAUCAAUAAUCAAUACCGUGUGUUACUAUGCAACCACGUGUAUUACUGUACUUUUACUACCGGGUAGUUCAACAGUUUUAAUGAUAACACUUAAUUCGUUUUUUUAUAACAAGAUAAUUCUGUCGUUUUCUAACUACGACAAUACUUCCAUUGUGGGGUCCACCAAUUAUUGUGCCGUCGUACGAAUAUUCCCGACAAAAAGAAUAUUCUCCGACCAAACGAAUAUUUUAUAACAACUUGCAUACUUUGCAAAAUUUAUAAAUAUUACACACAACUAUAACAUUAUAUCAAAUCCACACCAUAAUAUUUAAAAAAUAUAUUUCAAAAAAUUUAAAUCUUUAUUCAUAAAAUUUGGGGUCUCACAUUUGUGGAUAUAAUUUAAGUAAGUAUAAAAGGUGUAACUUAAUGUCCUAUAUGUGGAGAAUGAGAGUAAUUCAUUUCGUUCAAGUUGGAAUCAAAUGACUUAUGUUUAUCAAUGACUUAAGUGAAACAUUUGAUAAGGUUCAAGUUGUUUGUAAAAACUAGUUUGUCUUAGUUCCAUUAUAAUUAAAUAAUGAUUACUAGUUGCUUUAUAAGCAUAAGAGGUGUAAACUUAUUUAAUUAUGUGAAACAAAAGAAACUCUCCAUUUUUUAAUUUAAAUUACAUUAUUAUUAAUAAUUUGUAACUUACAUCAUUAUGACUAAUGUGUAACUUACAACAUUAUAUCUAUAAUAAUGUGUAAUUAAAAUAGAUAUAUAAUAGUUGUUACUAUUAUAGAUGUAUACAUAUAUAUCUAUAUGUGUAGAUAUAUGAAGAUAUAUACAUAUAUGAAGAAUGGAGUAUACUUACAAGAAAAGAAGAAAGCUUGCACAUGAAAUUCUCUCUUCUUUCAGUUAAUUUUUUCUAUAAAUAUAUAACUACAGUAAAACCUCUAUUUAAUAAUAGACUUGGGACCAAACUAUUUGUAUUCUAAUUGAGAGGUUAUUACUAAAUAGAGGUAUUAGUAUAAAAUAUUUUCUGAACACCCAAAAAUAUCCAUUUUAACAAAAAUAUAGAUUUUAUACUUUAUAACAAAAAUUAAAAAAAAACAUAAAUUAUUUAGAUUUUCAAACUAGAAAAAUGUAGUCUUUUAUAGGAAAUGUAGUCUUUUAUAGAAAAAAAUAGUCUUUUAUAGAAAAAUGUGGUCUUUUAUAGAAAAUGCAGUCUUUUAUAGGAAAUGUAGUCUUUUAAAAUUAAUAUUGUCUCUCUCAUUCAUAUAUAUAUAUAUAUAUAUAUAUAUGUGUGUGUGUGUGUGUGUGUGUGUGUGUGUGUGAAAUUAUUACUUUAUACAGGUAUAGUUUCUUAAUACGAAACUCAAAAAGUAUAUAACAUAUUACAAUUUAGAGGUUAUUCCUAUUUAUAACUAUUCCAAAUUGGGACCAAAUUUUUUUAUAAUAUUGUAGAGGUUAUUCUUAUAUAGAGUAUUUUUAAAUAGGGGUUUUACUGUAUCACAAAGAAAUAUUCGACUCGAACAUUUGUGAAUUGCUAUCACAAAAUUGUUCAACUCCAAAACUUGGCAUAUGUCCUGGAGGUAUAUCGCUUGUAACUCAUAGCAAACCAUUUGUGGUGAGUGUGAUAAAGACCUUAAGGACAGAGAUUACUCGUGUCAUGUUUUUCGAUUAUUUUUUCGAUUAUGACUCUACGAAGCUACGGUUUUAACAUUAACAAGUACCAACUUAUUAUUAAAGAUUUAUUACCUAAUAAAAUACUAUUACUAUAAAUAACUAAAUAAAAAUAAAUUCAGUCCUUCGACUUCCGAAGUCAUGACGCCAAUCCUGAAGAAGUUCGCCAUACCCGAAGUCAUGACGUUACCCGAAGCCGAAUUCCCGACCUCGAAAACAUGAAUGAACCAAACGCUUGAUCCCGAAGUCAACCGAUACCGUUGCGCUGAUCCCUUAACUCAUGGUCGUUUAGUGUCAUCAUCGAAUUGUCUGAAACUCUCCAUCAUCGGCCUCAGAUCCUCCUGCAUCAACUGACGUCGGGCGGGAUAGCGAUUAUCCUACGGGAUACUAACAAAUAAAUUCACAAGUAAAGGAACAAAAGAUUCACUUAAAAAAAUAUAGAGAAACUUCUCUAAUGCUUGAGUUUAUAUUUAUCAAAAUCGAAGUUAAUUAUCUUUCAUUCAACCCACAAACUAGGUUUUAUAGCUAAUAAAAACUUUCUCUCCAAGUCACUCUAAAAUCUUCUUUUAGAGAUACGGAAAAAAAAAUCCUCCUAGAGAUACGAAAACAAAAAUCCUAACAAACUUCCUAAAAAUAUGGAAACAAAAUCUUAACAAGUAACAACUUAUUAUAAAAGAUUUACUACAUAAUAAAAUACUAUUACUAUAAAUAACUAAAUAAUAAUAAUAAAGUCAGUCAGUCAUUCGACUUCCGAAGUCAUUACGCCAUUCCUGAAGAAGUUCGUCAUACCUAAAGUCAUGACGUCAUCCAAAAUCGAACUCCCGACCCCGAAGACAUGAACCGAACGCCUGACCCCGAAGUCAACCGAUACCGUUGCGCUGAUCCCUUAACUCAUGGUCCUUUAGUGUCAUCAUCGAACUAUCUGACCACUCUGUAUCAUCGGCCUCGAAUACUCCUACAUCAGAUUCAUGUAACUUCUUAAAAUAUUAAAUAUUAUAAUUCAUGAUACUUUUUAUAUAGUUUAUAAUUUCAUAUAUAAUUGUAUUAUCUAAAUUAAAUUAGUUCGUGGUAGUUUUAAUUUAAAAUUAUCUCAAUUGACAUUAAAAAAUAAUAUUGAGCCUGUAUUUUAGAACUAUAUAUAUAUAUAUAUAUAUAUAUAUAUAUAUAGAGAGAGAGAGAGUCCGGAUCUAGUUCCAUAAAAUAUUAAAACUUUUUUUUAGUUGUUUUAAAAAAAAUGCAAAAAAUAAUAAUAAUGUUAAAGGUCCGUAUUUUAAGCUUGUCCGGGAAUCCUGUAACGCCCCCAAAAUAGGGACAAUCUCUCUCCCCGGUCUUGUGCGUUAAUAUUAUCUUGUUCUAGCUUUAAAACAUUGUUUAAUGUUAAAAUAGCUAAAAAUACGGAAUAAUUUUUUUUUCUUUUCAUUCAUUCCCUGAAUCGCAACCUUUACAAUUCUUCUCUAUACUAGGAUCAUAUUUAUUAUAUGACUUAUUUAGCCUGAGUAGAUAUGAGUAUAUAUAUACAAUUCAUUCUUUCAAGCAUAUCCCCUUUUUAGUAAUCUCCAAUUACCGAAUAAUUCAAAAAUUUAUACAUCUGUGAUUUACACAUGAAAAUACCAUCAAAUGAUUCGACACAAUCUCAAUUAAAUCACUAGUCUUCUAUUUAUGCGCUGCUAAUCACGAUAGAUCGCAUCAUAGAUUUAACCUGCAAAUUAAGCAAGAUUGAGCACGACGGCCCAACAAGUCUAACAGUCUAUCAUGCAUCACGUAGCACAUAGGUUUCACAUUCAACAUAGGUUUCACAUUCAGUUCAUGCAUUUAUAUUCUUGGUGUUCAAGCAUAUUACAAAUGCAUUAUCACAUUUAUGUCCUGCUGGUAGCAACUUACAUACCAUAGCAUACUACACAUGUCAUGUACAUGUCAUUCAUUGCACAUAUAUAUUGAGUUCCCCGACUCAAUUCAAUAAUUAGUCAUAAUUUGACAUUCAUCGUUCACAAAGCAAAUAAUGCAUUUCAUAAGUAUUACAUACUUAUAAACAUAAAUCAUGCUAACAGUUAUCUAUAACAAUUAUAAGUCCACAUAAAUAAACUGAGAAACUUGCAUUGUUCGUAGAUUAUUGGUACAAUUUCAACUUAACCUGUGUAUUCUCACCGAUCCUACACAAUUAUUUGCAUUUACAAGCAUAUUAGCCAAAUAACCAAGUCAUAUAGCUUAUAUGUUCACAUAUCACAUAAUCACAGUGAUCAUGUUUUUAGUUCAUGUUCUAUAUUUAAGAUACAUUUUUUAAAUAUCUCAUCCAUAUUCUUAUAAUAACCUUUUCUUUCUUUCAUAGGGUUUGACAUAAUUUUUGUUCAUAAACUUUCCAUGAUUUUAGUUCAUACUCCUUUUAUUUCUUUUGUUUGCCGUAAAUAUACUUUGUAAUCCUCUUUAUAACUUAGGUAUUCAAGGUGAAUAGCUAAGGUAUUUCAUGAUUGUAUAUCAAAAUGGUAGAACUUUUAGUUUCUAAUUUGCUUUGCAAAUCAUAUUGUCAAACGAUUCGCUUAAUCGUAUUGCAUUUCUUAGUUACGUCAAAACAGCCUUCUUUGACCAAAAAAUAUAUGCAGCCUUUAUUGAUGCUAUAAUAAGUUUCUUGCAUAAUUUCAUUUGACUUUAGCAGCCUCUUAUCAUUACACUAUGAUGAGGCUAAAUUUUCCUUGCUAUUCUUUUGUUUUCCCCCUAUUUAACUAAGUGAGCCUAAUAACUCACUUAACUAAACAAACAGUUUCUUAACAAAGUUUGUUUUAAAUUAGCAGCUCUUUAUUGCCAACUUCUACUGCUGUCAUUAUUGUUCAAGGUUAGCAGUCCUGUUCUCCCCUAUUCAACUUCCCUUUUGUAACUUUAUAACUUAUGCUAUGCAAACUUGCUUCAGCCCAAGUUUUAGCAUAAUUGUUUUAUAUUUUAGCCAUCUAUUAAUACGAAUGUUAGGCUUCUUAACUCAAAAUUUUCAAGCUACCUAAACUACUAGCAACUGCUGCUAUUUGCCACUGCUGGUUAUGAGCAGCAGUUUCCCCCCCUUCCAUGCUUAACAUUUCAGUCAUCAUCUCUUCUUUUAUCAAUAUAUAGAUACACAAUACAAAACAGUGUUCAAACAUAGCCGGUUGCAUUAAUUUUUUUUUUUUUUAACAUAUUAUCUGCAGGCUCUGCAACACAGCACAGCGCUGGGCGCUGGCUGCUGCUGCCAGCAGCAGCACCGACUAGCCCAAACCUCCUCUUCCUGUACAAAUUUAUCUCUCUUUUUUUUAUGUUCUAGACAUUACCGACCUGUUAAUAUUAGUUGGGCAAACUUGAGGGUCCAACUGUGCUAAAUAUAAACUCAAGAGAAUACUAACUCAAACAACCAUUGCUGCUACUGAAGCAGCAGCUUUGACACUAGGCUUCCACUAAUUAUUUUUUAAAAAAACUUUGUAGCAUAGAUAAGUUUACACCAACUCUAGGUAUAAUAUACAGAGUAUAUGGAAGUAUUUUGAGCUUAUUGAACCCCUCCAUGUCAGCUUUAUAUACUGCCCAAAACAGAGUGUUCAAAUGACUUGACAUACUAAGUCUAACUUUUCAUUGUUAAUUAAAAAUUGAGCUUUGUUCUAGCUUGACACACUCAAACCCUCUAAUUAGCAUCACAUAUGAUUAAUAAAUCAAGCCCAAGCUCUAAUUCUACCAAAGUUCUGAUUUUAGAUAAAAAUAGUUCAUUGGAGCAUUCUAACAAACACCUUACGUACACAGUUUUAAAACACUCUUUUCAUAGCUAUUGGUUUGUUUUAAAAACCCAGUUUAGCUCCCUUAUUGCUCCAUACAACCCAGCCUAUUCUUCUUUGUUCUAUUCCAGUCCAUAGCAGUUGGUUUCACAGUUAAACCAAACAUAUUGACUGAGAGCAAUAACUAAAUACCUACUAGCAUUCCUCUAAUUUAAAAGUUUGAUAUUAACAAACAGUGAGUUCAAUAACCCAUUCUUUGUCAUGAAAGUUAAACUUACCAAUUUAUUCAAUCGUUUAACCCAACAUCACAGAUAUAUAUCUCAUAUAGAUUUUCAUCAACCAAAACUAAAUCAUCAAUUCACAUAGGCCUAAUUUCUUGACAUAAAAAGAUAAUAAUACCUGGAUACUUAGAUAACUUCUGUGGUAUUACUUCCUUUAGCUUCCAAUUUCGAUCCUCACUUCUUAAUUUUAUUUUACUGGAGCAAAGCUUGGAGUUGUGUGAUAUAGGGAGAAAGAAAGACGCUGAGCUGAAUAUGAGAAGGAAAGAGUAGAAGAAAACUGAGCUUUUUAGCUUGAUUACCCCCCUAGCUUAGCUUGGUGUUAUGCCUAUUAAGAUAAUGGCAUGACACGUCCUACAUACCUUAAUGUCGACUCUGCUCUUGGUUUAAGGUAAUACCCCAGCUCAUGCUUCUAAUGUCUCAGCUCAAAUACUAAGCCCUGUUUGUUUAAUACAUUCCUUCAAUAAAUUAUUAAAGCCUACAACUUUAUUAACAUAAUUCCAUAGUACCAAAUUCAUUAUAUUAUAACUAAUAUUUUGUACUACAAUUUCCUUACAAUAAAAUAACUUAAACUAAUAAAUUAUUU
rnacentral:lncRNA from 1 species